GAGAAGACAGAUGAAAUAUCAAAUAUGCAGAUGGAUUUAGAAAAUUCAAAUGCUAAAUUACAAGAAAAGAUCCAAGAACUUAAGACAAAUGAACAUCAACUUUUUAAGUUAAAAGAAGAUGUCAGUGAGACGCAGAAAAAAUGUCUGAAAUAGAGAAAUUGAAGAAACAAUUCAAGACCCAAAGUUUAACUCUGGAUAAAAUGGAAAUGGAGAACUCAGAGCUGGCUCAGAAACUUCAUGAAAACCUUGAAGAAAUGAAAUCUGUAAUGAAAGAAAGAGAUAGUCUAAGAGUAGUAGAAGAGAAUCUCAAACUGGAGAGAGACCAACUCAAGGCAAACCUACAAGAAACCAUAGUUAGAGAUCUAGAAACACAACAAGAACUAAAAAUUGCUCGUAUGCAUUUGAAAGAACACCAAGAAACUAUUGAUAAGUUGAGAGAAAGAGUUUCA